UGCCCUUGAGGCGUGGCUUCCGGAGCUAACGCGUUAAGUCGACCGCCUGGGGAGUACGGCCGCAAGGUUAAAACUCAAAUGAAUUGACGGGGGCCCGCACAAGCGGUGGAGCAUGUGGUUUAAUUCGAUGCAACGCGAAGAACCUUACCUACUCUUGACAUCCAGAGAACUUUCCAGAGAUGGAUUGGUGCCUUCGGGAACUCUGAGACAGGUGCUGCAUGGCUGUCGUCAGCUCGUGUUGUGAAAUGUUGGGUUAAGUCCCGCAACGAGCGCAACCCUUAUCCUUUGUUGCCAGCGGUUAGGCCGGGAACUCAAAGGAGACUGCCAGUGAUAAACUGGAGGAAGGUGGGGAUGACGUCAAGUCAUCAUGGCCCUUACGAGUAGGGCUACACACGUGCUACAAUGGCGCAUACAAAGAGAAGCGACCUCGCGAGAGCGAGCGGACCUCAUAAAGUGCGUCGUAGUCCGGAUUGGAGUCUGCAACUCGACUCCAUGAAGUCGGAAUCGCUAGUAAUCGUAGAUCAGAAUGCUACGGUGAAUACGUUCCCGGGCCUUGUACACACCGCCCGUCACACCAUGGGAGUGGGUUGCAAAAGAAGUAGGUAGCUUAACCUUCGGGAGGGCGCUUACCACUUUGUGAUUCAUGACUGGGGGUGAAGUCGUAACAAGGUAGCCGUAA
rnacentral:rRNA from 1 species